GACGAACGCUGGCGGCGUGCUUAACACAUGCAAGUCGAACGAAGUGGCGAACGGGUGAGUAACGCGUAAUCAACCUGCACUUCAGCGGGGGACAACAGUUGGAAACGACUGCUAAUACCGCAUACGGAAGGAGGGGCUUGCGGCUGAUUAGCUAGUUGGAGGGGUAACGGCCCACCAAGGCGAUGAUCAGUAGCCGGGCUGAGAGGAGGAACGGCAACAUUGGGACUGAGACACGGCCCAGACUCCUACGGGAGGCAGCAGGUGGGAAUCGUCCGCAAUGGACGAAAGUCUGACGGAGCAACGCCGCGUGAGUGAUGACGGCCUUCGGGUUGUAAAGCUCUGCUAAUCGGGACGCGGUACCGGAAUAGAAAGCCACGGCUAACUACGUGCCAGCAGCCGCGGUAAUAC
rnacentral:rRNA from 1 species